rnacentral:rRNA from 1 species
AUUGAACGCUGGCGGCAUGCUUUACACAUGCAAGUCGGACGGCAGCACAGAGAAGCUUGCUUCUUGGGUGGCGAGUGGCGAACGGGUGAGUAAUAUAUCGGAACGUACCGAGUAAUGGGGGAUAACUAAUCGAAAGAUUAGCUAAUACCGCAUAUUCUCUGAGGAGGAAAGCAGGGGACCUUCGGGCCUUGCGUUAUUCGAGCGGCCGAUAUCUGAUUAGCUAGUUGGUGGGGUAAAGGCCUACCAAGGCGACGAUCAGUAGCGGGUCUGAGAGGAUGAUCCGCCACACUGGGACUGAGACACGGCCCAGACUCCUACGGGAGGCAGCAGUGGGGAAUUUUGGACAAUGGGCGCAAGCCUGAUCCAGCCAUACCGCGUGUCUGAAGAAGGCCUUCGGGUUGUAAAGGACUUUUGUCAGGGAAGAAAAGGCUGUUGCUAAUACCGACAGCUGAUGACGGUACCUGAAGAAUAAGCACCGGCUAACUACGUG